rnacentral:tRNA from 1 species
AUUUAAGUAGCUUAAAAUUUUAAAGCUUAAUAUUGAAGAUAUUAUGAUAAGUGUGACUUCUUAAAUA